rnacentral:rRNA from 1 species
UAUAAUUUAAAGUAGGGCCUGCCCACUGAGAUUUUAAAGGGCCGCAGUAUUUUGACUGUGCAAAGGUAGCAUAAUCAUUAGUUUUUUAAUUGAAAGCUUGUAUGAAUGGUUUGAUGAAAAAAUAACUUUCUAUAUUUAAAUUUUAUGAAAACUUUAUUUUUAAGUUAAAAAGCUUAAAUUUUUUUAAUAGACGAGAAGACCCUAUAGAGUUUUAUUAUAAUAAAUUUUUAAAUUUUAGGAAUUUAAAAAUUUUAAUUUUUAUUAUAAUUUGGUUGGGGUGAUUAAAAAAUUAAAAGAACUUUUUUUUAUUUUAUACAUAGAUUUAUG